UAGGUAGGAGCCGGAGACGCAAUGGGAAUGGACGUGACGUACCGAAUGGCAGCCGGAAUGGGCGGAUUAAGAACAUCAGGCGAUCUAGUAGCUAGAACAC
rfam:Candidate divison MSBL1 archaeon SCGC-AAA382A03 AAA382A03_Contig_6_C, whole genome shotgun sequence.